rnacentral:rRNA from 1 species
GAUGAACGCUGGCGGCGUGCUUAACACAUGCAAGUCGAACGGAAAGGCUCCUGCUUGCAGGGGUACUCGAGUGGCGAACGGGUGAGUAACACGUGGGUGAUCUGCCCUGCACUUCGGGAUAAGCCUGGGAAACUGGGUCUAAUACCGGAUAGGACCACAUUUUGGAUGGUGUGGUGGAAAGUUUUUCGGUGUGGGAUGAGCCCGCGGCCUAUCAGCUUGUUGGUGGGGUAAUGGCCUACCAAGGCGUCGACGGGUAGCCGGCCUGAGAGGGUGUACGGCCACAUUGGGACUGAGAUACGGCCCAGACUCCGACGGGAGGCAGCAGUGGGGAAUAUUGCACAAUGGGCGCAAGCCUGAUGCAGCGACGCCGCGUGGGGGAUGACGGCCUUCGGGUUGUAAACUCCUUUCGCUAGGGACGAAGCGUUUUUGUGACGGUACCUGGAGAAGAAGCACCGGCUAACUACGUG